rfam:Cricetulus griseus cell line CHO-K1, whole genome shotgun sequence.
GGAGAGAUGGCUCAGUGGUCAAGAGCACUGGUUGUUCUUCCAGAGGACCUGGGUUCAAUUCCCAAUGCCUACA